UCCUUCGGGAGGGGAUUAGUGGCGAACGGGUGAGUAACACGUGGGCAAUCUGCCCUUCACUCUGGGACAAGCCCUGGAAACGGGGUCUAAUACCGGAUACGACUACCGACCGCAUGGUCUGGUGGUGGAAAGCUCCGGCGGUGAAGGAUGAGCCCGCGGCCUAUCAGCUUGUUGGUGGGGUGAUGGCCUACCAAGGCGACGACGGGUAGCCGGCCUGAGAGGGCGACCGGCCACACUGGGACUGAGACACGGCCCAGACUCCUACGGGAGGCAGCAGUGGGGAAUAUUGCACAAUGGGCGAAAGCCUGAUGCAGCGACGCCGCGUGAGGGAUGACGGCCUUCGGGUUGUAAACCUCUUUCAGCAGGGAAGAAGCGAAAGUGACGGUACCUGCAGAAGAAGCGCCGGCUAACUACGUGCCAGCAGCCGCGGUAAUACGUAGGGCGCAAGCGUUGUCCGGAAUUAUUGGGCGUAAAGAGCUCGUAGGCGGCUUGUCACGUCGGAUGUGAAAGCCCGGGGCUUAACCCCGGGUCUGCAUUCGAUACGGGCAGGCUAGAGUUCGGUAGGGGAGAUCGGAAUUCCUGGUGUAGCGGUGAAAUGCGCAGAUAUCAGGAGGAACACCGGUGGCGAAGGCGGAUCUCUGGGCCGAUACUGACGCUGA
rnacentral:rRNA from 1 species